CUGUCUAGUGUCUGUGUACAUAUCUGUGUCUGACACAAGGAAACUUUUUUGACAAGUUGUCUGUAUUCUUAAAUACUUAAAAAAUUAUCUUUUUCUAAACAGCCCUCAUCACUCCAGUCUGCCCCCCAGCCCACUGAUAGCAACCAUCAUAAUGCCACACCCAGCUUCUGGCACCUUUCGCCACUCCGGCACAAACCGACACAGCUUUGCGAUCUCGCCAGCAUGCAGUCUGAUGUCUUCCCUAUAGAUGGUAUGCUUUUAAAAAAGCUUUAAAGCUGCAUCACAAUGUCAUUGUACUCUUAUCUAAAAAAAAAACCCCAAUUUAUACUCCUGAAUGUCAUCUUGUUGUGAUUUUUUUUUUUUUUCCUGCAGAUUCCAGAGACUCUGUGAGGCCACUAUUACAAGGCAAGUUUGAAAAUCUUGGAAUUUCACAGUUUACAUGGUAUAACAAAUAUAUGUGACAGGCAAAAACUAGUAAACACUUUUAGCAGUUACAAGAACUAACAAAUGAAUAUCCAACAAAAGGGAAUAGAAAUACAUUGUACUGCCAAUACUUUGGUUUAUUCUUUGUAUGACUUGAAAAUCAGGCUUUAGGGAAAACUAAAUGACAUGUUUCUAUCAUCAAUUACAUGAAGUAAACACACAAGCACUUGCAUACACAUUUAAGACAUGAGACACGCUAAUUCCAUCUCAUAAAAUGUGUCUAUAGGUGAGACGCUUUGCGUUGAUUGGUGCUGCUGGACCACACUGGAGGUGCGAGUCCGCCGUGUAAUGGUUUAUGCCAUUACAAAGGAGCUGGCCUCUGUACUCAACUGGGCAGGGAAAAAAAAACCAAGGACCAGACAAAGCAAAAAAGGGCAUUUAAAGAGACAGCGCUGUGCAGAUGCAUAUUUGAUGGCCUGGCGCAGCAGGUAGGGGCGAACUCUAUGUCUGAGUUGGUCUUUGCUCAAGCAGUCCAGAAAUGGCUCAGAUAUGCUCCAGAUCGUACGGGUGGCGCGCAGGACGCACAUCAUCCAUCCCCAUCCCGGAGUAAAUAAUAAAAAGUGACGUGAAACAUAGAAAUGUAAAUAGGAAACUUUGUCUUUUAAUAAAGUAUUUUGCAAAUGAUACAUGUCUAUUGACCUUUUUUGUUUUUUUUCAAUAAAAAGCAACUGUGCGAAAGAGGUGGAAAAUCAAUACCAUAGCUCAACAGUGUUUCAAUAUCAGAAUCUGACAUUGUUUCAAUGUCAACAGUGUUAGAAAAUAUAACGUCGAAUCAAUGUCAGGUUUCAACAUUGAUUCAACAUCAAAACCUGACGUUGUUUCAACGUUAAAAAUGGGUGCAAGAGUGAUGUUGGGUCAACGUCACACUUCAACGUUGCUUCAAUGACGUCGCCUGAUAUUGACUCAACAUUGUUUCAAUGUUUCCUUGCUAUCUGGGGACUUUCUCUCCUCACUCUCCUAAACCUCCAAACUCUCUCCAAACUGUCUCCAAACUCUCACUAACCGCAACUCUCCAUCAAACACCCACAUUUUGAAUGAAGUCUGAGGGGUUUAUAUCGCUAUCAUAGCUCGCAGCAAAGUUCGAACCACUUCCUGAACCAGUCACGUGGUACAGCCGGGCAGCGAGGCUUCGGACGUCAUCAUUUUCAGCUCCUCCCAUAAAUGAAGCAAGCCUCGAUACGCGCAUCGCGGAAACGCCCCCUCCAUUACUCGAUACAAGCUUCGAAGCCUCGAUACAGAACGUCCCAUCACUAGUUGUGGUCACUUUUUAUCAUGAAAGGCAAAGGAAACUAAGUGCAGAGCAGCAUCUGCUAAAGGCAGUAGAUUCCAUGUUGGUUGGGUGGAGAGAGAUCAUGAAGGACGCCCGCUGUUAAAAAGAAGCAGAAGAG
rnacentral:lncRNA from 1 species